AUGCGGGCCCCAGCACUGCUUCUGGUUGUCUUGGCUCCCAUCAUGCAGGUAUCUUCCAACUUGAUGUUAAUCACUAGAAAGACUGGGGAGACUGCUUCGUUCCCUUGUGAUCUUACACGAAGGGCCACCUAUAUCCACUUGUACAAACAUGAAGAGGGGAUGGCCCCCCGACGCCUUUUAUACUACGACAGCUAUAACUCAAAGCCUGUGUUUGAAUCAGGAAUCAGUGGAACAAAAUACCAUGUCUAUAAGGACACAGGGAGGAGCUAUACAUUUGCAAUCGUAAAUCUGCAAGCAAGUGAUUCCGGCAUAUACUACUGUGCUAUUUGGGAUAACAGCUCGGGCUGGAAGAAGAUAUUUGGAGAAGGAGCUAACAUCAUAGUAACUCCUCCCGAGAGAAACCUUGCUGCAGACACUUCCCCCAAGCCCACUGUUUUUCUUCCUUCAAUUGCCGAAAUCAACCAUGAUAAUGCUGGAACAUAUCUUUGUCUCCUGGAGAAAUUUUUCCCUGAUGUUAUUACCGUCUCUUGGAGAGCAAAAAAUGACAAAAGAGCUCUGCCAUCCCAGCAGGGAAACACCAUGAAGACCAAGGACACAUACAUGAAGCUCAGCUGGCUGACCGUGACCGAAAACUCUAUGGAUAAACAACAUGUGUGUGUUGUCAAACACCAGAAAAAUAUAGGAGGAAUUGAUCAAGAGAUUAUUUUUCCUUCAAUAAAAGAAGUUGUCACCUCAGCUGUCACUACUACUGAGCCUCCAACUACUGAGCCUCCAACUACUGAGCCUCCAAAUGAUUAUUUGACUGAUGAAAGCAUUACAGGUAUUGGUUCUAAAAAAGCUUGUCUGAAAGACGAAAGUGUCACUGGUGAUACUAAUUCUACAAAGGCACGUCUGGAAGGUGAAAACAGUGCCCUGCAGCUGCAGCUCACGACCACCUCUGCCUAUUACACCUACCUCUUACUCCUCCUCCGGAGCACAGGCUACUUUGUUGUCAUCAUUGCCUGUGUGUUUAGGAGAACCGGCGCCUGCUGUGACGGGAAGAUCUCAUGA